rnacentral:rRNA from 1 species
UACGUAGGGGGCAAGCGUUGUCCGGAUUUAUUGGGCGUAAAGAGCGUGUAGGCGGUUAGAUAGGUCCGUUGUGAAAACUCGAGGCUCGACCUCGAGACGCCGAUGGAAACCAUCUGACUAGAGUCCGGAAGAGGAGAGUGGAAUUCCUGGUGUAGCGGUGAAAUGCGCAGAUAUCAGGAAGAACACCCGUGGCUAAGGCGGCUCUCUAGUACGGUACUGACGCUGAGACGCGAAAGCGUGGGGAGCGAACAGG